rnacentral:lncRNA from 1 species
AAGCGGCGCGGAGCUAGCGCCGCCUGCCCGGGUCUCCUGCUGCGUGGCUGCCUGCGUGCUCCCGACCCGGCCGUCCGAGCCAGCCCGCGGGCCGCGCGCGCUUCCGAGCGGCCGGAGGAGUCCAUGGUGCAGAACUUAGCGGCGGACUGACGGAGACCGGGCCUCCUGCGCCGGCGCGGCCGCGGGACCUCGGCCUCAGUAGAGUGAUGCCUGCACGGUGGGGUUCCAUGAGCCUUGGGCACAGGAAUUGACUCAGGAUUCGAGAGAGAUGCAGCACUUGCAGCUCCAGGAAGGGUUGCCUGGAAAGCAGGGCACCCACCUCACCUGCACAGGUGUGCCCAGCUCCAGUGUCAGCCCAACCAUGGAUGGGCUCAAUGAAGAUGAUGAGGGCAGGCGCCGUGGGAGCCUGGACAAAGUGUGACAGAACCAUGUCGUGCUCCCCCGUCUACACAGCACCUGUCUACAUAGCUCAUUGAGAGGAAGAGGGCCUUCACGUCCAUCGAAGUGUCCAUUACUUCAGGUUCCUCUGGUUUUUGCUCAGACUCCUCCUUGAUGGACUCAAGCUCUGGCUCCUGAACAACAGAGCUGGGAAGCCUCGGCAGCUCCUGGGGCCACCCACUUUUGCUUCUUCUCAGCUCUGCUAGCCAUCUUGAAGGCAAAACCUCACAAUGUAGACCCUCACCCUAGACCAACGGUUGGGUCAUACCAACCAAGAAGCUGCCCUGCGUGGCCCUCCCAGGCCCAUGCCUGCAUGCAUGCGUCACCGUGGCCGAGACACUUUUUUUUUCUUAAUUUUUAUUAGAUAUUUUCUUCAUUUACAUUUCAAAUGCUAUCCCCAAAGUCCCCCAGACCCUCCCCCGCCCUGCUCCCCUACCCACCCACUACCACUUCUUGGCCCUGACAUUCCCCUGUACUAGGGCAUAUAAAGUUUGCAAGACCAAGAGGCCACUCUUCCCCAAUGAUGGCCGACUAGGCCAUCUUCUGCUAUAUAUGCAGCUAGAGACAGGAGCUCUGGGGGGGUACUGAUUAGUUCAUAUUGUUGUUCCACCUAUAGGGUUGCAGACCCCUUCAGCUCCUUGAGUACUUUCUCUAGCUCCUCCAUUGGGGACCCUGUGUUUCAUCCUAUAGCUGACUGUGAGCAUCCACUUCUGUAUUUACCAGGCACUGGCAUAGCCUCACAAGAGGCAGCUAUAUCAGGGUCCUUUCAGCAAAAUCUUGCUGGCAAAUACAAUAGUGUCUGCAUUUGGUAGCUGAUUAUGCAUGGUACUGGUACAGCGACAGACAGGUAGAUCAAUGGAAUAGAAUUGAAGACCCAGAAAUGAACCUGGAUGAAAUCCGCCAUGUAUAUAUCCUGGAUGAAAUCUGCCAUGUAGUUGGCAAAGAUUUCUUUCCCCUCUAUCCUGGAGGCUUUGUUUUUAUUUCAGUGAUUGUUUCCUUUGCUGUGCAGACACUUCUUACGUGCGAUCUGUUUACCAAAUUUAUUUCUAGUGAUGUUGGAGGAAUUUUCAUAGCAAUCCUUGCCCAUGUCUCAGCCUGUGGGUCACAACCCCAUUGGGAGUCAGAUGACCUGUAUAUCAGAUUCCUUGCAUGUUAGAUAAAGUAGCAACAAAAGUAACUUUAUUGUUGGGUGUCACUGCAAGAUGAGGAAACUGUGUUAAAGGCUGCAGCGUUAGGAGGGCUGAGACCCUUUUGUAUUAAGGUCCGUUUUGAUUCUUGAUCCAUUUUGAGAUGAUUUUGUGUAGGGUAAAAGAUCGAGUUUCUUUUACAGGAGGGGGUCUAGGUUUUUGUUUCAUUGGUUGAAAAGGUUGACAUAGCAAAGCCCCAUCUCAAAAAAAUAAAAAAGAAAGGUAGUUCUGAUUUGUGGGGUGUGGAUUUCUGAACUUUAAGGGAGGGACUAUUUGUGUAGGGCUUGCUUUGAUACACCUUUAAGGAACUUGAAUUAAUCUAUGGGCUAUUAUUUUAGCAUAGAUUUGUAGAAUGUUUUUGAAUAAUCCCAUUAUUUAGAAUAUUUUGUUCUAGGAAUGAAUUCAUCGGCUUUUACUUUUCUCUCCUGUUCCUCUUGCUGUUAACAUAUUUUAUUGACAUAUCUUACCAUGUCAAAUAUUCCAUUUCGGGGCUGGCGAGAUGGCUCAGUGGGUAAGAGCACCCGACUGCUCUUCCGAAGGUCCAGAGUUCGAAUCCCAGCAACCACAUGGUGGCUCACAACCAUCCCCAACAAGAUCUGACUCCCUCUUCUAGAGUGUCUGAAGACACUCUUCUAGAGUGUCUGAAGACAGCUACAGUGUACUUACAUAUAAUCAAUAAAUAAAUCUUUAAAAAAAAAAAAAAAAAAAUAUUCCAUUUCAUUUUUUAUUGAAGGCUAUAGGAGUCAUAAUGAAUAUAGCAGACUGUCUGACCAGUUAGAUAAUUUGAGAACCCCAUUUAUAAUUUGUAAUAUUGAUAGUAAGAUUACAUUUAGUAGAGAAUCUCAAUAUUUUGUGAUUUCUAAAAACUUUAUGAUAUGUGUUGGACUUUGCAAAAAAUAACCUAUUAGUGUAUUGGUUUUUUUUUCCUAAUACAAGAUUACCCAAGUUUUGUUUAAAAAGUAAAAGUGCCAUUC